GCAUUGGUGGUUCAGUGGUAGAAUUCUCCCUGCCACGCGGGAGGCCCGGGUUUGUUUCCCGGCCAAUGCA
rnacentral:tRNA from 1 species